CCUACGGGUGGCAGCAGUGGGGAAUAUUGCACAAUGGGGGAAACCCUGAUGCAUCGACGCCGCGUGCGUGAAGAAGUAUCUCGGUAUGUAAAGCUCUAUCAGCAGGGAAGACAAUGACGGUACCUGACUAAUUAGACCCGGCUAACUCCGUGCCAGCCGCCGCGGUAAUACGUAGGGGGCAAGCGUUAUCCGGAUAUACUGGGUGUAAAGGGAGCGUAAACGGCGCUGCAAGCACGGAGUGAAAUCCCAUGGCUUAACCCUGGGACUGCUCUGGAAACUGUGGAACUUGAGUGCGGGAGGGGCAGGCGGAAUUCCUAGUGUAGCGGUGAAAUGCGUAGAUAUUAGGAGGAACACCGGCGGCGAAGGCGGCCUGCUGGACCGUAACUGACGUUGAGGCUCGAAAGCGUGGGGAGCAAACAGGAUUAGAUACCCGUGUAGUC
rnacentral:rRNA from 1 species